GACGAACGCUGGCGGCGUGCCUAAUACAUGCAAGUCGAGCGCUGAAGCUUGGUACUUGUUCCCAUUGGAUGAGCAGCGAACGGGUGAGUAACGCGUGGGGAAUCUGCCUUUGAGCGGGGGACAACAUCUGGAAACGAAUGCUAAUACCGCCUAAAACCUUUAAACACAAGUUUUAAGUUUGAAAGAUGCAUUUGCCUCACUCAAAGAUGAACCCGCGUUGACUUAGCUAGUUGGUGAGGGAAAGGCCCAACAAAGGGAGGGUACCUAGCCGACCUGAGAGGGUGAUCGGCCACAAUGGGACUGGGACAAGGCCCAAGCUCCUACGGGAGGCAGCAGUAGGGAAUCUUCGGCAAUGGGGGGAAGUCUGACCGAGGAACGCCGCGGGAGUGAAGAAAGGUUUCGGGUCGUAAAACUCUGUUGGUAGAGAAGAACGUUGGUGAGAGUGGAAAGCUCAUCAAGUGACGGUAACUACCCAGAAAGGGACGGCUAACUACGUG
rnacentral:rRNA from 1 species